GUGAAGAACCGGGAUCUACAAGCACAAACACAAUGGAGAUCAGACACUUAGUUUCCCAAAGGAAAUAUUGAGGAACCUCUGUGUCCGAGUUGGUACCUUGUACACUCCAGCAAACUUCGUGGUGAUAGAUAUUGGUACUUAGGAGAGGGCACCCAUCAUCUUAGGGAGGCCAUUCCUAAAGACCAGAGCUGUCAUCUACGCUAAUGCUGCCAAGAUCAGUCUCUACAUCAAGGGGAAGAAGGAGACUUUCCUUCAAGAACAAGACUACACAAGCUUCAGAGCAAUCCCGACAUAAACCAAGGAAGAGGACCAACAGGAGGAACAGGAACAAGCAAAUGUGGACCGAGUCAGCUAAGAUGGUCACUGCAGCUCAAGGAGGUCAAGAUCGUCGACUCAAGUCACCUUUCUUGAUCAAGAAGGAUGACCCUGGUGUUCCAAGAAUCGAAUGCACAAACAAUGGAUACUCUUUUUAGAAGACACUCUACGACACCGGAUCUGACGACAACAUAAUGGCCGCAGUCACUUAUCAGCUCCUGCAUGGAACCAUGCCCCUACAACCAAGAUACAUUCAGCUUCAAACAACUUUCAGGUCAUUGACAUGGGAGAAGACGAGUAUGAUCCAUCCACCAUCCUUGGAAGACCGUUCCUCAGCACUAUCAAAGCCAUUAUCUAUAUUGGAACCGGAGAAGUCCACAUGCACUUCCCCUCUGAGAAGGUACGCCACUACUUUAAUGAUUCUAACUAUAUAGUUGAAGAUUCUAAGUAGGUCAGGACAAGAAGAAGACAAACCGCAACCAGAGGAGGCAAAUCGGACGGAUGGGUAGACUACGAAGGAGAAGUGAUAAGGACUGAAGACAUACAACUUGAACAGAACUGUCCUGAGGAGACCGUAGCACCGAGUCAGGUGUGGAAAGAGAAGAUAGUUAUACACGAAGAGGAGGCGCCGCCGGAACCACCGACUACGCCACCCAGCAAAUCCCAGGACGACUAAGAAAACGGAGAGUGCCGUUCGGAGGACUUAAAAAUACCGAACGCCUUGCCAAGAGGUAAACUUGGUAGUUAUCCUUUCCCUUUCAAUUAUUUUAAAUAGUUUACUUAGUUAAUCAUAUUCAUACUAUCUUCAAAAUAAAAGAAAAUAAAAAUGUGAAAAACAGUAAGCCCCAUGUGAGUAUACGAGUGGCAUAAAACCCAUAAGUACAUUCACUGUGGUGGCAUAAAAAUAAAAUAAAUAUUUUUCUGCUUUAUAAAAUGAAAAUAUAAAAAAUAGGGAGUAAUAAUUAUUAAGGAGUCUCAAGAUGAUAAAGGCUAGAUAUUUAUGCUAACACUUAAUCAGUUCCUCAAGCUUUGUUGUCUAUUUGAGCUCCACAGAAUUUAAGAAUCAAGAAGACUAGCAGACGGAGGACAUUCUAAUCGCUGUCAGAAUGCUGCUGACUUUCAAAAACACCUCUACCACCUGCUAGCUACAUCAAGAGAAAUUACGUCAAAAUUCAGCAUGGGGGAGAGCACCCCCAUUUAUCUCGAUAAGUAUUUCUAUCUAUCUAUCUUUAUACUUAUACUAUAUUAGAAUAUAAAUACACAUAACUAUGAAAAACCAAAUAAAGAUUUUAUGCUUAUAUAUAUUUUGCUUAGUGUGUUUAAUAAAUAAAUAAAGUGGCUAUGCUAAUCUGUAUCUAAUAAAACUUAAGCAUGGAUAUGAUGAAUAGUUGCUCUGCCUAAUUUGCAAAUUUGAAGUUCUCUCUCAAGUUUAGAUAUAACUGUUAUAAUUUAAGGCUUGCUCUAGACCUAAACUUGUGGGAUGAAAACUUGAUCUGAAGUCCAAGUUGUUAACGGAUACGAUAUGGGAAGGUUGAGCUGCUGUUUAUCUGUUCCUAGAGAUGCUAGAAUUCUGGAGAAUUUUAUCUUUGAAAAUCUUUAAAAUGUUGCAUGAUGAGUUCCUCUAUGAUGAGAGUUUAAAUUCCUACCACAUCCAUAUAUACAUGCUUGCUAGACCUUGAGCCACAUAUUUACUUUUUACUGCUCAUGAGCAUUGAGUGUGGUCAAGCUGUGUAGACCCUUAGGAGCUUGUCAUGUGGUUAAAUCAAGAUUCACUUGCACGUUCACUCAUACAUGUUACUUCUACUCCGGAAGUACUAUCCAUUCAUUUCCAUCUCCAAAACCACCCAAAAGUAUUCUACUCCUAAUCCGGGAGAGAAUAGCCAAAAACAUUUUCCUAUCCCUGUUAUUCCCUGUGAAAUAAAUGCUCCAGUUAUUUUGGUUACUACCACUUGCUACAUUAUUUCAGGAGAUGAGUGCUCUAAAAAAAAGAGAGAGAGAAAAAAAAUGAAUACGAGGAAAUAAAAAGGGGCAAGUGCCCGGAACCUCGAAGAAAAAGAAAAAAAGUGAGACGAAAGGUAAAAAUGGACAAGUGUCCGACAGUAGAAUUAGGGGUACAAGAUACCCACCUGAGAGGAAAGAAAAAGAAAAUAUAGAGCAUCUCAUUAUCCUCAAAAAGCUUCAAAGUGCAAGAAAGGUAUGUAUCCCCUCAAAAGAGCAAAAGUAGAAUUAGACUUUCACCAUUGUUAUCACCAUCAUCACCAUACACCAUUCAUUCGCCACACAUGCACAUCUUGAUUUGGCUUAUUGAUUUGUUUCUUUGGAUCCAUGGUUUGACUAUGCAAUAAAUGUCUUGUAAGUAUGUAUACUUUAUCUCCCACCUAUGAGCUCCAGAUAUUAAAGCCUUAUUAGAGUAGGGUGAGAGAGAAGACAAUGUCACUAUGCUUCAUACCACAAAUACUACAUAUCUUGAGAGAAGGCAUAUACCAUCGCUGCCUUGGUAAGGAUCCAAAAAUACCACAAAAGAGAGACCUGAGAGAAUCAUACAAGGAUUUUCUGAGUUUUAUUUGAAAAUCUGCAAAAACCCCAGAGCUAUAGCUGAUCAAGAAUAAGAGACAUGGCACUUGGCUAGACUGUUCUAUCUUUUAACCACUCAAGACAGAAGUGACGGUUACAAGUCCUAUGGUGUAGGUAAAGUAAGUAAGUUUUAAGUCUUAACAGUUUAUUCCAACCCAGAGAUAAGAUCUUACUUAAAAGCAUGUGUACCGUCAAAUUUUUAAAGAUAUUGCAACUACUUAUGAUCCAUAGCUGAGUCUAUCCUUGCUCAGGGACGAGCAAGAGGUAAGCUUGGGGGAGUUUGUUGACGGUCCUUAAGUAUCAAAUUUAAUUAUCAAAUAAAUAAAGAAAUGGAUCCAAAUGAAAUCAACAUCUAGACUUAGGGUUUUAUCUGACAGAAUUCCACGAGUUUUGGUGUUUGUCUAUUUCUGCAGGGGGUUAUCCGGAAAUAAGGAAGAAAGGCCCACAUGUCGGGAUUACAUAGAGAUAUCAACCCACCGCGCAAUUUUCUACCAUCUAGAAGACUCCAGAAGCCACGGGAAGGAAGCGGAGCCCGAAAGGGGCCAGGCCCAGGGCGCCCGCCCACCUCUGGACCCCGUUCCGGACUCUCUUCGCACACGACGUUCCACCGACCUAUUGGAUCCAGAAUAACAUAGUACCACCUCGCCUAUCGACCCAAAAAUGCAUAGAAGGGGAGGACUAUAUAAGGAGACCCCCUCUGGCCCCUGGAGGAGACAAAAAAUUAUCAUAGAGAUUGAGGGGUGCCCUUGAAGGAAAACCUCUUCUCUAAAUAAUAUUUCUUUUUAGGCUUAGCAACCAAUGUAAAGUAGAAAUAGAUCUUCUCGUUUCUACUAGAUUGAGAGAGAUAGAGUGGAGGUGUGGAUCGGAGGAAGGCCGGCC
rnacentral:lncRNA from 1 species